rnacentral:tRNA from 1 species
CCCCCAGUAGCUCAGUGGAUAGAGCAACGGCCUUCUAAGCCGUUGGUCGGGAGUUCGAAUCUCUCCUGGGACGCCA